rnacentral:rRNA from 1 species
CGCUGUUAUCCCUAAGGUAAUUUAGUCUUUUAAUCACUAAAAAUGGAUCAAAAAUAUAUAAAUANAUAUAAAAAAAUAAAAAGAGUUAUUUUAAUCUUCCUAUCACCCCAACAAAAUUCACACAACAUUAAAUUUUGACCCACAAAAAAUAUUUAAAUAAAUUAAACUCUAUAGGGUCUUCUCGUCCCAAAAAAACAUUUAGGCAUUUUAACCUAAAAUUUAAAUUCAACAUAAUAAAAAUCAAAGACAGUAACUACCUCGUCAAACCAUUCAUUCCAGCCUACAAUUAAAAGACUAAUGAUUAUGCUACCUUUGCACGGUCAAAAUACCGCGGCCCUUCAAAUAAUCAGCGGGCAGGUCAUACAUCAUAAUAACAACAAAAAGAGAUGUUUUUGUUAAACAGGCG